GUUGGAGAAUACACGGCGAGGGAUCUGAGAGCGUUCCUCCAGACAGAACCUCUCCAGAUCCUUCACAUUUCGAGGUCCACGCUGGUGGACUCUCCUCUUCAGUUCACCCCACAGGUGUUCUAUGGGGUUCAGGUCAGGGGACUGGGAUGGUCAUGGCAGGACCUUGAUUUUGUGGUCAGUAAACCAUUUCUGUGUUGAUUUUGAUGAUGUUUUGGAUCAUCGUCCUGCUGGAAGAUCCAACCACGCCCCAUUUGAAUCUUUCUGGCAGAGGCGGUCAGGUUUUCAUUUAAUAUCUGUUGAUAUUUGAUGGAGUCCAUGAUGCCAUGUGUCCUAACAAAAUGUCCAGGUCCUCUGCAGAAAAACAGCCCAGAACAUUAAAGAUCCUCCUCCAUAUUUAACCGUGGACAUGAGGGACUUUUCCAUACGGCUCCCUCUCUGUGUGCUCCAAAACCACCUCUGUGUUUAUCACCAAAAAGCUCUAUUCUGGUUUCAUCUGACCGUAGAACCCGAUCCCAUUUGAAGUUCCAGUAGUGUCUGCACACUGAAGACGCUCCAGUUUGUUUUUGGAUGAGAGUAGAGGCUUUAGUCUUGAACCCCUUCCAAACAGCUUGUGGUGAUGUCGGUGACUUCAGAUUGUAGUUUUGGAGACUUUCUGACCCCGAGACACAACUAACUUCUGCAAUUCUCCAGCUGUGAUCCUCGGAGAUGUUUUAUCCACUCAAACCGUCCUCUUCACAGUGCGUUGAGACGAUAUAGACACGCGUCCAAUUCCAGGUCCAUUCAUAACAUUUCCAGUUGACUGGAACUUCUUAAUUAUUGCCCUGAUGAUGAGCCACGCCCCAUUGUGUGAAGCUCAACAACCUUUUGCUGCACAUCACAGCUAUAUUCCUCGCUCUUACCCAGUGUUAUGAAUGACUAAGGGAAUUUGGCCUGUGUUUUACCUCAUAUUUAUACCCCUGUAAAACAGGAAGUCAUGAUUGAACAAUUUCCUGUUCCUAGUCACCCAUUUUUACUAAAAAUUUUUAAAUAUUAAUGGGAAUAUACUGCACAUAGAUUUUGCUCAUGUGAAUUCAUAGGGGUGCCAAUAAUUGUUGCAAACCUAUAUUUAAGAAAGAUAUUUCUGGAUAAACCUGUCUUGUGUUUGAUAUCCAUGAGAAGAGUAUUUUUGUGAAUGUUUUGAACAAAAGAUCAAAAGGUUAAACAAUAAAGACAACGUAUACAAUUAUAUAUACUAUAUCUACAGACAGGACACAUGGACUGCAAAAUAAUGACCCUAUAAAAAAUUUUUAAAAGAUGUACAUAAUCAAAAAUGAGACAAUACAACGCGGGGACUUACUGGCGAGGUCGGUGCCGGAGGCGGCGCAGUUCCGCAGCAGGAUGUGGAUGAGUUUGAGGCCGAUGCGCGUGGACUGAAGGCCGAUUUUCACCAGAACAGCCUCGAUGUUGGGCGAGUGCAUACCGCAGUACGGAGACAUGAGCAGCGCCGCACACGUCUGCAGCAGGUUAGCUGUCUGCGAGGCCGCGCUCGCCAUCAUCGCUUCCAGAUCAGAAACGUGAGUCACGCAGUGGUGCAGCAGACGCAGCCAGCCGAUACUGAGCCAAGAACCACACACACACACACACAGUCUGAGAAUGAACCAAACAUGAGCUGGUAUUGUGUGUUAGAAUGAAAAGCACAAACACAGACAUCUGGAGAAGGAGGAGCUAAAGCAGAUGGAGUAAGGAUGACGGUGAUCAGGGAGCCAGGAGACCGACAGGUACCUGGUUUUGGAGACCUGGUCCUCAGAAGGCAGGAAGGGGUUGUUCACCGUGGCUGACGAGGUGCUGCCGAACGCGGUGAGGCCGAGCAGUUUGAUCUGCGACAGGCCGAGCGUGCUGGCGUCUCGAGGACGGUGCAGACGCACGCACACGGCCGACGCCACUUCCGCACGCACCAGCUGGAUUUUAAUGUAGGUGAGGCCGCUCGUGACGAGGGGCGUGGACAGGGGGAGCAUGUUCACACCGUCCGCACUGAUCUCCACCGACACCGAGGACGGACACGCUGGACACACAGAGCACACCGGGGAAUCAAACAAAAACACAAUCACUGAAGGUUCAUAUCUAACGCAGUGCUCCGGGUUCUGGAUUCUGAUUGGCCAGAAGGGAAGGUGUUGAUUAAUUCUUUAUAAGAGCAGCUCUGACAGUAGCACAGGUUUAUAUAUAUAUUAAUACGUUACGGUUUCUAUAGUAACGGCUCGUUCACAGGGACGUGCGCAGCGGACGCUCCGCUGAUAAACAGAUUGGGGGAAAAACCCGUUUUUAAAGUUUUCUGUAAGGAGAUGUCUAUGUAACAUUUCUGGAAGGAGUCUCCAGUUCCAGUUAAGAGAGGCUGGUGGUAACGUAAGUGAAGACAGGAACUGACUUCCACAGCUUUACUGUAACUAUAAACGGAUAAAAAGUGCAACGUGACACUCAUUAAUAAGUCAAACAUCGUAAUCGGUGGUGAAUUGCUGCGGUGUAAAAGGAAUAGAACACUAGGAGAUGUGCUGUUAGAGGAAAAUAAUCCUCUUUGAUGUGGUGUGUGUGUGUGUGUGUGUGUGUGUGUGUGUGUGUGUGUGUGUGUCUCACUGGCGAGCGAGGCGAGGUGUGGUUGGAUGUGGAGCUCUUUGAGCAGUACGGCGGCGGGGAGGUGGAUGGUGAGGUCGCACCACGCCUCCUCGGGGAGGAAGAUGUAGGACCAGGCGGCGGAUCGGGCUCGGCGGUGAGGAGGCGUGGCCUGGAGCAGAACCUCCGCAGGCUGAGCUGUAGGACUGCUCGAGGUUAUGGUGCCUGACGGGGGACAAAAAACAGACAGUAAACACACAGAACCCCAAAAAUCAGCUCAGAACAUCAGUGUUAAACACCAUCACUUUACCAAAACACACACGUUCUUCAACACGUACAAGAAUCACGUUAAAUACUACAAACAAUACCAAUAAAAGAUCAGACGCACGUCACGUCGACCCCUAAUUAACAUCCCUAAUUAGUUCAUUAACUGAAAAAAAAAUCCUGUGUUUGUUAUUUGUGUUAAGUAAUGGCACCCUCUCCAUUCACACCUCUGCAUCAAACGUCUAAAAUUCCCUCUCCUGCGCUCACGUGACCGACUUAUUUCUUUAGUUUUCGUUCCUGUGGGAGAUAAAUGAAGCUGGUUACCGAGAGGGGCGAAGUUGUGCAGUCCCUCUGCGUUCUCCGGCUCGGAGGCGAGGACUCGGGCCUUCAGGCUGCCGUCUGCUGCUUUCCCCGGCCCCGAGUCCAAAAACUUCAUGAUGGUGGAGACCAUGCUGCGUGCCGUGUUCACGAUGGCCCGCGUACUCGUCACCAUGUUGUUACAGAUCAGCUGUACUCCACC
ensembl:lncRNA